GCCAGACAGAGCAGUACACAAAAGUGGGAAAACAAACCAAAAUAAACAACCGGACAAAGAAAAACUAAAAGAAAAUAACUAUUUGCUUUGCUCACACAGUCAUAAUUCCAAGGAAUUAAACAGAAUCAAACAAGGGUCAGAAUUUGAGAAGAAGAGAGAGAGGCAGAGGAAGGGAAAGGGACAGUGUUGGAAUUGUGAUAUGAAAGAAGUAUGGAGAACCACAUGGAUCCUUCACAUAAAGUCUUACAGCUGCAGUUGCGAAUUGUGAAUGAGCAUAGAAGAAUACUGCAUUCCAGAAAUUCAAGAAAAAACUUGGACGACUUUAACUGGCUUCAGAAACAGCUGGAAGAAAGCUGCACCGAAAUCAAAGCAGUGAGCUACAUGGUGCAUAAUAUCCAUUUCUAUGAGAAAUUAUGUGAUUAUCAGAGAAAUACUUGCCUCAGACCUUCCAAAGUUUCUUAGGAUAUCUAUGUUCAAAAUCAAAGCCUGCAUG
rnacentral:lncRNA from 1 species